ACGGCUCAUUACAACUGCUAUAAUUUACUUGAUCCAGAUUAUCCUACAUGGAUAACUGUGGUAAUUCAAGAGCUAAUACAUCCACCGUAGCUCCGACUCUCGGACGAGCGCAUUUAAUAGAACAAAACCAAUCGGGACUCGGCCCGCUCUAUGCUGACUCUGAUUAACUAAGCUGAUCGCUUGGUCUUGCACCGGCGUCGUGUCUUUCAAGUUUCUGCCUUAUGAACUAUCGAUGGUAGUAUAUGUGACUACCUUGGUUGUAACGGGUAACGGAGAAUAAGGGUUCGUCUCCGGAGUGGGA
rnacentral:rRNA from 1 species